UAAUUUACAAAUUUUGAAAAUAUUUAAUGAUGCCAAGGAUAUUGCUAAACCAGGAGGCAGCAAUCAGCAGCCACGUCAGAAUAUUAACCAAAGUUCUUUCAAAAUCACAUCACCAAGGUUAUCAGAUAUUUCAGAGUUUAAAAGUUCUGAUAAUGACAUAGAAAAUGUAGGUACAUCAGCAAUAAGCAGCUAUGAUCAGCCAACUCCGAAUAUUGAUCAAAGCUCUUCCAAUAACACAUCAAAAAGAUUAUUAAAUGAUAUAGAUUUAGAUAUUUCGAGUGAUGAUGAUGAUAUUGAAAAUAAUGCUACAUCAAGCUGUCAGCAAUCAUUUUAGAGUAUUGAUCCAAAUUCCCUAAAAAUUUAACUAACGAGAUUAAGUGACGAUGACAAGUUUGAAUGAAGACUUAAUUACUAACAAUGAUGGCCAAAUUAUUUUCCUUAAGGAAUAUGAAAUGGUAAUUAAAAUUAGGAUGCUUGCUAUUACGGAUAUAAUAAAAUAUGAAAUUAAAAAAUAAUUG